AUACGGAGGAUCCGAGCGUUAUCCGGAUUUAUUGGGUUUAAAGGGAGCGUAGAUGGAUGUUUAAGUCAGUUGUGAAAGUUUGCGGCUCAACCGUAAAAUUGCAGUUGAUACUGGAUAUCUUGAGUGCAGUUGAGGCAGGCGGCAUUCGUGGUGUAGCGGGGCAAUGCUUAGAUAUUCCGAAGAACUCCGAUUGCGAAGGCAGCCUGCUAAGCUGCAACUGACAGUGAGGCUCGAAAGUGUGGGUAUCAAACAGGAUUAGAUACCCUGGUAGUCCACACGGUAAACGAUGAAUACUCGCUGUUUGCGAUAUACGGCAAGCGGCCAAGCGAAAGCGUUAAGUAUUCCACCUGGGGAGUACGCCGGCAACGGUGAAACUCAAAUGAAUUGGCGGGG
rnacentral:rRNA from 1 species